rnacentral:misc_RNA from 1 species
UUUCCGUAGGUGAACCUGCGGAAGGAUCAUUACAGAGUUCAUGCCCUCACGGGUAGAUCUCCCACCCUUGAAUAUUUAUACCUUAGUUGCUUUGGCAGGCCGUGGAAACACCAUGGGCUCCGGCUUAUGCGUGCCUGCCAGAGGAAACAAACUCUGUUUUUAGUGAUGCCUGAGUACUAUAUAAUAGUUAAAACUUUCAACAACGGAUCUCUUGGUUCUG